CACAGGUCACUGCUUCCUUUUCCUGCCUCACAAACAGUUUUCUCAAUCAUUUUGGGCACUGAGUUGGUGCCUCAGCACUUGGAUCUGUGUCAUAUGAUUUGAUCUUCUUUUCAGUGUUCUCCUAUUUGUCCCUGUCCAUGUGCUGUUUUUUCUGACACUAUUUUUUUUCUUCUUGUGUCAUUUUAUGACAGUGUUUCUCCAUGAUGUGCUUGUUAAGAGGUGAAAUAUCUGGAAAAAAAAUAGACUUUUUGUGAGAAUAAUAAAAAAAGAAAAAAAAAAGAAACUGACCAAUAAGAAAGUAAGUAAUUUUAUUUUUUCUAAUUUCUAAUGUCUUAUGUGCGUGUGUGUUGUUAUCUUAAAAUCUACAUUCAUGACUUUAUCUACAACAUAAGGCAUAUUUUGUAAAUGAGCUUAAACAGUCUAUCAAAUUGUAAUUAUUCAUGAAUAGUCUCUCUUUAUUGCUAAUGAUAUGCAUCACACUAACAGAGUUUGAUAUACUGGUUAUACAAAUAAAGUUCAUCUGAGGUAACACAGUUUAUUCCUUUCUCAGGCAUCCAGCCUGGAUCUCAGCUGCAAAGGAGAAAAGUUCUUGUGCCUGUCUUGCCUGGAGUGCUGGCCUUGCUGGACUCAACCCAUUUGCCACCAGUGGAUUAAAACUGAGACCCAAAACACCAGCGAGAUUGAGAAUUCUUCAAAGUGAUUUACGCACAAUUCUUAGCACAGCUGUUUGCUGGGGGUGUGUGCUCUGUGUGGGGGAUCUAUCAGCAGUCUGG
rnacentral:lncRNA from 1 species